AGUUCGGCAAAAUUUUAUCCACACGUGUACGAAAAUAGAACGAAAGCUGAUUAGUGGAUGCUUGAGAGAAGACGAAGAAGAGAGAAACCCAGAAAGGGAAAGCCUGCGGGUUUUGUCUGACCCCCCGUGUUAGCUGAUUCUAAGACCCAUAGAGAAAACAAACAGAUUAUGCGAUAUGGCUGCUAGAUUCAGCUAGUCUUGUGGUUACCGUAGCUAGAUUUAGCUAGUCUUGUGAUUUCCGCAGGUGGAGAGAGGCAGUGGGGGAGGCAUUUAUUUCUAUUUUGAUUUGAUUCUAAAUGGACCCAACAGCUGAAGAGCAAAUAGAUUAUGGGGAUGAAGAGUAUGGAGUUAAUCAGAAGAUGCAAUAUCAGGGGGCUGGAGCAAUAUCAGCACUUGCAGAUGAAGAAAUGAUGGGGGAAGAUGAUGAGUAUGAUGACCUAUACAAUGAUGUUAAUGUUGGAGAGGGCUUCCUCCAGAUGCACCGAUCUGAGGCUCCACCUCCUGCUAAUGUGGGAAAUGGAGGAUUCCAAGCUCAGAAAUUUGAUGCUCCUGAUCCAAAGGUUGAGGCUGGGAGCACACAUGGGUUAAGUAAUUCUGGGGUUACAGUUGGAGGGCAGUAUUCUAACACUGGGACACGUUUUCUUGAGCAGGGAGUCCAACUGUCUAUUAAAGGGCAGGGAUUGGGAUCUGCUGGCUACCCAGAUGGGUCUUCUGUAUCACAAAAAGGGCAGGUUAUGGAGAUCGCUCGUGAUACUCAAGUCCGAAAUGUUGGGUUUCAGGGUUCAACAUCUGUGCCCUCGAAUAUUGGGGCUGACAUUGCUGGUAUGCCUGGGAGGAUGCCCAAUAACCCUGUACCUUCACUGAAUCCUAACUCUGGUGUUCCACAAGGUGUUGCACAGAUUCCAACUAAUCAAACUGGCAUGAAUGCAAAUGUGAAUCGUAUUAAUGAAAAUGAAAUCCGCCCAUCUGUAGAUAAUGGCUUGACAAUGCUUUAUGUUGGUGAAUUACAUUGGUGGACAACUGAUGCAGAGCUAGAGAGUGUUUUAUCUCAGUAUGGAAGAGUCAAGGAGAUUAAGUUCUUUGAUGAGAGAGCUAGUGGUAAAUCCAAGGGAUACUGUCAAGUUGACUUCUAUGACCCUACUGCUGCAUCUGCUUGCAAAGAAGGAAUGAAUGGUUAUCUUUUUAAUGGGCGAGCUUGUGUUGUUGCCUUUGCUUCUCCACAAACACUGAAGCAGAUGGGAGUCUCUUAUAGCAAAAACCAACCCGAGUCUCAGCCUCAGCCUCAGGGAAGGAGGCCCAUGAAUGAUGGUAUGGGGAGAGGUAAUAAUAUGAAUUAUCAAGGUGGAGAUGGAGGAAGGAACUAUGGAAGGGGCUCUUGGGGACGGGGUGGGCGGGGAAUGCUAAACAGAGGUCCAGGGGGUGGAGGUCAUAUGAGGGGAAGAGAAGGCAUGGGUGCAAAGAACAUGGGCGGGCCUGGAAUUGGAGGUCCAGCUGGUGGUGGAGGCUAUGGACAAGGCCUUGCAGGCCCUGCAUUUGGGGGUCCUGCUGGUGGUAUGAUGCAUCCUCAAGGUAUGAUGGGAGCUGGAUUCGAUCCAACUUAUAUGGGUCGUGGUGGUUAUGGAGGGUUUGCUGGCCCUGGCUUUCCUGGCAUGCUUCCUUCAUUUCCUGCUGUUAAUGCAAUGGGACUAGCUGGGGUGGCUCCUCAUGUAAACCCAGCCUUUUUUGCCCGGGGAAUGACACCUAAUGGGAUGGGAAUGAUGGGUUCAUCAAGUAUGGAGGGGCAUCAUGCAGGAAUGUGGGCUGAUUCUAGCAUGGGCGCUUGGGGAGGAGAAGAGCACGGUGGAAGAACAGGGGAGUCAAGUUAUGGUGGUGAUGAUGGUGCUUCUGAAUAUGGCUAUGGAGAGGCGAAUCAUGAAAAGGGAGUCAGGUCAAGUGCUGCUUCUCGGGAAAAGGAUCGAGGUUCUGACCGUGACUGGUCAGGGAAUACUGAUAAGAGGCAGCGAGAUGAGAGGGAACAGGACUGGGAUAGGCCCGAAAGGGAGCAUCGGCAUAGGGAAGAAAAAGAUAAUUAUCGUGACCAUCGGCAAAGAGAACGUGACUCUGGUUACAAGGAUGACUGGGACAGAGGGCAGUCGUCUUCUAGACCUCGAAGCAGGUCUCGUGCAAUGCCAGAAGAAAAUUAUAGGUCUCGAUCAAGGGAUGUGGAUUAUGGGAAGAGGAGACGCAUGCCGUCAGAGUGAAGCAGCCUUGCUGUCAAUCCUCUCUUUCCUUUUUAUAUAACUUUGCAGGAGUGUCACUUCUUCAGGGAAGAAGAGUGGAGUGCGCUGUUUUUCUUUUCAUGGUUGACUCGGCCUAUUUUGGUUGCAUUGAGGAAGAGUUAGAUGGGUUGCCUUGGAAUUCUCCGACCAUGGCAUUGCUCAACCAAGUGUGCAAAAGAAGCAUUGACUAUAUUGCCUUCCAUAUUUUCGAUGCCCUACUUAAGAGUCUGUAAAUUAUUAGUCAACCAGAAUAUGUCUAGGAAGGAUGGAGUCGUGCGGUUGUAAAACAUGGAAAGGGUGACUAGUUUUUGGUAUAUGCACCCUAUUUUUGCUCUUGUAUGUAUGUCUCCAGGUUGUGUUUUGUAAAGUUUUGAGUAGAAAUGUGUUAGGUUUACAGCAUGUAUUGGCCUCUUUUAUUGUUUAUUUGACAAGUCUUUGCUCGUCAAUGAGCUUGUAAAAAGUGAUGUACUGAUUCUGAGGGCCAAUACUAGUUCAUACAUGCUAAUGUUGUAACAUUUGAGUUUUGUUAGAAAGAACUUAGAGGAGUCAGAGAUGAGGUAGAGCUACUGGAACAGUGUAAUGUGGAGUCGCUGUUCGAACUGUAAUUAGUUAUUGUAAUCUGUAAGCUCGAAAGGCCUGUAUAGGAUAAGUUGUUUCAAAAGUAUUGUUCCAUCUUUUUCGUGUGCA